AUGAAUGAUUCUUGUCAUUGCAAAUUUCUCAAUGCUGAACUACCCCUGUUAUAUAUUAGCAGGAUGGUUAGACCAGGUGGUCGUGGUGGCGAUGCCCCACCACCACCUGAGUACAUGGCUGGUAUGAUCCAACAGUUUGAACUGAACCGCCAAUUCAUGGAAAAUAUGAUGGCUCAGUUCCCUCGCCCCAAUAUGAACCAGCAGCCAGCUCAAGUGACUCUUCAAGAUUUCAUACGCCUCAACCCAACCAUCUACCGCAGCUCAACUCAGCCUCUGGAUGCCGAUGACUGGCUCCAUGACAUCACCUAUGAGAUGGAGUCUGCUGAUGUAGCCCCUGCCAGCUAUGUCACCUUUGCUUCCUUCUUCUUGAAGGGACCCGUAGCUCAAUGGUGGGACAGCCACAGGCGUACUCUGCCAGCUGGAACAAUCAUCACAUGGCCAGACUUCCAAGCUGCUUUCCGUGCCCGCUUCAUUCCUCAGGGAGUCAUGGACCGGAAGAAGCGUGAGUUCCGCAACCUCACCCAAGGCAACAAAACUGUCGAAGCUUAUCAGCGGGAGUUUCUGGACUUGUCCCGCUAUGCUGAAGAAGCCAUUGCAACUGAUGCACGCAGACAGGAGAAGUUCCGUGAUGGCCUUCAAGCUGACAUCAAGCUCGCACUUCUAGUGCAUGACUUUGCUGAUUUCUCCACCUUGGUGAACAAGGCCAUCAAUGUCGAAACUGGUCUGCAGGAAUACCAGAGCUCUCACAGGCGCAACCGUGACACGGGCUCAUCUUCGGGCUCGCCCGCACAGAAGCGUAAGAUAUGGAUCCCGAACAGCAUGUACCGUCCAAAUGCAUCUGCCCCAAGGCAGACCUAUGCUGCACCUCGUCUGCCUCCACCACCAUCUAGGCAGUCAAGACUUCCAGCUCCACCAUCCCAAGCUCCUGUUCCCACUCCGAAUAAUGGCUUGUGCUUCAGGUGUGGUCAACCAGGACACCGUGCUAAAGAGUGCAACCAGAACCAGAAUCAACUGGCCCUUCCAGCAACUGGCCGUGGUAACAAUCAGCCCCGCAACAACAAUGCUAAGUCUUAUGGUCGUGCUCAUGCCAACCACGUUGAUCUCAACGAAGCUCAAGACCAGCCUGCUACUGUGAUGGGUACACUCCUCGUAAAUUCAGUACCAGCAUCCGUUUUAUUUGAUACAGGUGCAUCACAUUCAUUCAUGUCAGAAGAUUUUGCAUACAAGCACGACUUAAAUGUGAGGAGAUGA
rnacentral:rRNA from 1 species